rnacentral:tRNA from 1 species
GGUAAGGAGCUGGGCCCCACGCCACGUUUACACCGUGGAUGUCAUCGGUUCGAGCCCGGUAGGGCCCA